rnacentral:misc_RNA from 1 species
AUUGAAUUAUCAUUCCAAGCC